GGCUGGUCCGAAGGUAGUGAGUUAUCUCACUUGAUUGUUCAUAGUCAGUUACAGAUUGAACUCCUUGUUCUACUACUUAACCCCCCUCCUCACUAUUGCACUGGACUAGUCUUAA
ensembl:misc_RNA Y_RNA Y RNA